rnacentral:tRNA from 1 species
GGGCGAGUAGCUCAGUGGUUAAGAGCGCUUCUCUUACACAGAAGAGGCCACAGGUUCAAAUCCUGUCUCGCCCA